CUGCCAAAAGCUUCUUGACUUGGUGAAGGUUACUGUAACCGAACCACUGAAGCUCUUGGAAGAGUAAAGACUACACUCCACUAUGGGCUGCACGGUUGUAGUUCAUCACUAUAAUGUGGUCAACAAA
ensembl:snoRNA